rnacentral:rRNA from 1 species
CCCUUAGAUGUUCUGGGCCGCACGCGCGCUACACUGAUGAAUGCAACGAGCUCUACCCUUGACCGAAAGGCCCGGGUAAACUUGUGAAACUUCAUCGUGAUGGGGAUAGAUUAUUGCAAUUAUUAAUCUUCAACGAGGAAUGCCUAGUAAGCGUGAUUCAUCAAAUCGCGUUGAUUACGUCCCUGCCCUUUGUACACACCGCCCGUCGCUCCUACCGAUUGAAUGUGUUGGUGAGGAGCUCGGAUUGGCAGCAGUUGGUGGUUCGCCACCGGCUAUUGCUGAGAAGUCCUCCAAACCGCCCCAUUUAGAGGAAGGAGAAGUCGUAACA